CCAGGCCGCUCACCCUAUAGGAUGGUGCAGGCGGGACCAGAAGGAGGACACUGGAAGCCUAAAACCUCCAGCAAGAAAAAUGCCUCUGGCAGUUUGUGGUCAGAAGAGGGUACAGGAUCCCCUGAAGCUGGAAUUGCAGGCAACUGUCAACUGCUCGACAUGGGUGCUGGUAACUGAAUUCAGCUCUUCGAGGAGAAAUAUCUGAAUCAGCUGAAAACACAGGCUUUAUGAUUUUCACUCCACAAAGAUGGGCAAAAAUUUCAGCUGUGUAUUAUGGAGAAAGUGUAUAUUUACGUGAUUAAAGGGUUGGAGAAAUG
rnacentral:sRNA from 1 species